GCAGAAGGAGAGGAGGAGGAGGAGGAAGAGGGAGAAUUGCCUGCAGACUUCGAGAAACUUUGGAAACUGACCUGCGACAGUCCUCAGUAUUUCAACAGCUGGACUUAUCUUCUGCAGUAUUGUGAACAAGAGGGCCACACGAGAGCUUGUCAUCAAGCCCUCAAUGCCUUUCUGGCAAGGUACCCUCUGUGUUACAGUUAUUGGAAAAAAUAUGCAGAUCUCGAGAGACGGUCCGGUCAAAACCAAAAGUUGAAGAGGUGUGUGAACGAGGUUUGAAGGUUAUCCCUCUUAGUGUUGAUCUCUGGAUUCACUAUAUCAUCCUGCUGCUGGGAACGCUCAACAUGAACCUACCUGAGUCAGCACAGCGCAUCCACUGGUACCACAGAGAAACUACUCCAUAAACACUACUUUUCCAGCUUUUUUAACACAAUGCAUCUGUUUCCAUUUUUAUAUAACUUAAG